AAGUCGUAACAAGGUUUCCGUAGGUGAACCUGCGGAAGGAUCAUUAACACGUAUCCAACGUUAAACAACCCUGUGAACCUUGAACGUGCUCCUGCGGCCCCAUGAAAUCAGCAAUCCCUGGUAAAUCAUUGUUGACCAGCUUUUGAGUCAGGGAUCUCUGCCGAAACGGCUGUUCAGUACCGAGCGCAGUGUAAGCGACCUGGCAUCCCUAAGCGAUCAGUGUCUGAAAGUGUCAUUGAUUGUGUAAGGAUGGCGCAGUCACGAUCGCUGUAGGCCCACACGGCCGGCGACCGGGUCACCGGGCUCUGCCCCUUUACGACAACACAGUACGAAUUGGCCGCGCGUGAAAUUCGCACGGCACCAAAAACCGAACAACUGUUAACAAUGGAUAUCUUGGUUCUC
rnacentral:misc_RNA from 1 species